rnacentral:rRNA from 2 species
AUGACAAGCACUUUGAAAAGAGGGUGAAAAGAGCCUGAAACCGUUACGAGGGAAGCGGAUUGCAUUGGAUUGGAACGGGUGUCAUUGUGUUCAGCCCGUUUUUUGGGUGUAUUCACUUUGAUGCUCAACUGUUGUGGGUUCUCGGGAUGCGAUUUUGGCAUCCUGGGGGCUGAGGGCUCCCCUUUAUGGGUUGAGGACGACAGUGUGACGAUGCGAUACGACCCGUCUUGAAACACGGACCAAGGAGUCUAGCGCGGUUGCGAGUCGGAGGGUAUUAAAACCCGUGGGCGAAGUGAAAGCGAGUGUAAAAACAAGCAGUUUGAGGCGGCAUAAAAUCGUUGAUUUUAGGUCUGACCUUGAGCAGUUGCGCUGGGACCCGAAAGAUGGUGAACUAUGCCGGAGUAGGGCGAAGCCAGGGGAAACCCUGGUGGAGGCUCGUAGCGGUGCUGACGUGCAAAUCGCUCGUCGAACUUGGGUAUAGGGGCGAAAGACUAAUCGAACCAUCUAGUAGCUGGUUCCCUCCGAAGUUUCUCUCAGGAUAGCUAGGUGACAAUACGUUGUUUUGUGC